rnacentral:rRNA from 1 species
UACGAAGGGGGCUAGCGUUGCUCGGAAUGACUGGGCGUAAAGGGCGCGUAGGCGGAUCGGAUAGUCAGGCGUGAAAUUCCUGGGCUCAACCUGGGGGCUGCGCUUGAUACGUCUGGUCUGGAGUGGGGAAGAGGGUCGUGGAAUUCCCAGUGUAGAGGUGAAAUUCGUAGAUAUUGGGAAGAACACCGGUGGCGAAGGCGGCGACCUGGUCCUUGACUGACGCUGAGGCGCGAAAGCGUGGGGAGCAAACAGG